GGAAGGAUCGCACGGGCUCGACCCGGCGACGCAUCCUUCAAGUGUCUGCCUUAUCAACUGUCGACGGUAGGUGAUGCGCCUACCGUGGUCGCCACGGGUGACGGGGAAUCAGGGUUCGAUUCCGGAGAGGGAGCCUGAGAAACGGCUACCACAUCUAAGGAAGGCAGCAGGCACGCAAAUUACCCAAUCCCGGCUCGGGGAGGUAGUGACGAAAAAUAACGACGCUGGACUCUACGAGACCCAGUCGUCGGAAUGAGUACGCUCUAAACCCUCUAACGAGGACCUACUGGAGGGCAAGACUAAUGCCAGCCGCUGCGGUAAUUUUAGCUCCAGUGGCGUAUACUAAAAUUGUUGCAGUUAAAAAGCUCGUAGUUGGAUGUCUGCUCUGGACGUAGGGGGCCGCUCGCGCGGUCCGCCAUGCGCACCCGGCAUUCUGCUCGCCACUCGGGGGUCGGUUUUCACCGGUCGGCCCUCGGUGGUCGGCGGUUAUCGCUUUGCAAAAAUUAGAGUGCUUCAAGCGGGCUCACCCAGGCUCGAAUAGUAAUGCACGGUACGAUGGAACAUGACUUCGGAUCUAGGUCCUCGGGGACAGACGGAGACCGAGGUGAUGAUUAAUAGGAGCAGACGGGGGCAUUCGUAUUCCGACGCUAGAGGUGAAAUUCUUGGACCGUCGGAAGACGACCCACUGCGAAAGCAUUUGCCAAGAAUGUUUCCCUUAACCAAGAACGAAAGUCAGAGGCUCAAAGAAGAUUAGAUACCUUUGUAGUUCUGACCCUAAACGAUGCCAGCCAGCGAUCCGGCUGCGUACGGUUGUGACGCGCCGGGCAGCUCGUCCGGGAAACCUGAGUUCAGGCUCCGGGGGAAGUAUGGUUGCAAAGCUGAAACUUAAAGGAAUUGACGGAGGGGCACUACCAGGAGUGGAGCCUACGGCUUAAUUCGACUCAACACGGGAAAACUCACCCGGCCCGGACGUUUUAGUACGAAUUACAAAUUGAUAGCUCUUUAGGGAAUAUGUGGAUGGUGGUGCAUGGCCGCAGUUGGUUCGUGGGGUGACCUGUCUGGUUGAUUCCGAUAAACGAACGAGAUUCCCGUUGGCUAAAUACGACUCUCCCCCGUUCGAUGGGGGUUGCAAGUCUUCUUAGAAGGACCGGCGGCUUCGAAGCCGUACGAGAGAGAGCGAUUGCAGGUCUGUGAUGCCCUAAGAUGUCCGGGGCCGCACGUGCGCUACAGUAGAGCGGCUAACGUGCCGAGGUUUCCUUGGCCUGUCGGCCUCGGGAACCAUUUCAGUCCCUCUCAGUGCUGGGGAUAGGGGAUUGUAACUUCCCCUCCAACGAGGAAUUCCCAGUAGGCGCGGGUCAUUAACUCGUGCCGACUAAGUCACUGCCCUUUGUACACACCGCCCGUCGCUGUCUCCGAUUGAACGGUGGAGUGAGGUCUUCGGACCUGCUUAUCCGUCGGCCUCUUGUGGGUCGAGUGGACUAGCGGGGAAUUUGCCCGAACUUGGCCGCUUAGAGGAGGCAAAAGUCGUAACAAGGUUUCCGUAGGUGAACCUGUGGAAGGAUCAUU